rnacentral:rRNA from 1 species
AAACCAACAGGGAUUGCCUUAGUAGCGGCGAGUGAAGCGGCAAAAGCUCAAAUUUGAAAUCUGGCACUUUCAGUGUCCGAGUUGUAAUUUGAAGAAGGUAUCUUUGGGUCUGGCUCUUGUCUAUGUUUCUUGGAACAGAACGUCACAGAGGGUGAGAAUCCCGUGCGAUGAGAUGUCCCAGACCUAUGUAAAGUUCCUUCGAAGAGUCGAGUUGUUUGGGAAUGCAGCUCUAAGUGGGUGGUAAAUUCCAUCUAAAGCUAAAUAUUGGCGAGAGACCGAUAGCGAACAAGUACAGUGAUGGAAAGAUGAAAAGAACUUUGAAAAGAGAGUGAAAAAGUACGUGAAAUUGUUGAAAGGGAAGGGCUUGAGAUCAGACUUGGUAUUUUGUAUGUUACUCUCUCGGGGGUGGCCUCUACAGUUUACCGGGCCAGCAUCAGUUUGAGCGGUAGGAUAAGUGCAAAGAAAUGUGGCACUGCUUCGGUAGUGUGUUAUAGUCU